GGAGCCGACCGUGCCGGUUGGGCCCGUACCGGCCUGUCACGCCGGAGGUCGCGGGUUCGAGUCCCGUCGCUCCC
rnacentral:tRNA from 1 species